CAAUAUUGCAAAUGCAUACAAAGGUCUUCAGUUCCUCUGGGAAGGGUUUGUGUGUGGAGUUAUACUUGCAGGUCCUGGGGGCCGGAUCCUGGUCCUUCUGCCUCCACUGAGGAGUCUGCCUCAAACGUGAGCAUUGCUGAGAAGGGUCAGCAAGGGCAGCACAGCUUGUUUUAGGUCCUGAGCAAACCCUCCCUGGGGCGGCCGUGGGCUCCCAAGCUGCCUGGCUCAGGAGCAGGUGCUGGAGAUCUACCCUGUGGUGGCACUGCUGCUUCUCCCUCCCACCUGCAUCUUGCAGUUAUUUUUGACCAGUUCCUAGGACACACGGGUUGCGGUGGGAGGGGCUGUUGGUUACAGUCCUUCAGGUAUUUAUAGUCUCUUUGCUACUGAAUUGAGUGGCUCAGCUGUGAUCCCUAGUGGUCCCUGUUUGCUUCAGGUUAAGCCACAUGCCUUUCAUGACUUUGUCCCUGUGAAUAGGAUUUGUGCAUUGCAGAAAUUGCAUACAUUGUAUGUGAGCAGACUUGUGUGAAGUAGUCUAUCACAUUGUAUCAUAAAGUUUAUUUUUCUUUUAUAUGUAAAUCGUAAAAAUGAUCACCUAUUUUUUUUUAUAAGUGUAUGGAUUGUACAGUUCAUUUCACACAUGGAAAAAUCAUAAGCAUUUGGAUUUUUAGUUUUCAAAGGUAUGUAGAAAAAUACGUCUUUUCAUUCCUGUUGUGACACUUACCCCUUUUCUAAUUUAACUGAAGUUUUAUAAGACAGGUAAGUAUUUACCAGAAAUUUUAAGACAACUUAUAAAGCUCGUGAAGGUCUCUGUAUGUAGCUAUCACUGU
rnacentral:lncRNA from 1 species